rnacentral:rRNA from 1 species
AACGAACGCUGGCGGCAGGCCUAACACAUGCAAGUCGAACGCCCUAGCAAUAGGGAGUGGCAGACGGGUGAGUAACACGGGGGAACGUGCCCUUCGGUUCGGAAUAACUCAGGGAAACUUGAGCUAAUACCGGAUACGUGCGUGAGCAGAAAGAUUUAUCGCCGAAGGAUCGGCCCGCGUCCGAUUAGUUAGUCGGUGAGGUAAGGGCCCGCCAAGGCGACGAUCGGUAGCUGGUAUGGGAGGAUGACCAGCCACACUGGGACUGAGAUACGGCCCAGACGCCUACGGGAGGCAGCAGUGUGGAAUGUUGGACAAUGGGCGCAAGCCUGAUCCAGCCAUGCCGCGUGAGUGAUGAAGGCCCUAGGGUUGUAAAGCUCUUUCGCCAGGGACGAUAAUGACGGUACCUGGAUAAGAAGCCCCGGCUAACUUCGUGCCAGCCGCCGCAGUAA